AGGAAGACCUUUAAGGCCCCUUGCAUUAUGGAUGAGGCUUUACGUGUGCGGGCAAGUCCCUCGCUACCUUGUACUAUUGAUGGAGCAUCUUCUCCAUAUGUUUCGAGGAUGAAACGGAAGAGGAAGACCUUUAAGGCCCCUUGCAUUAUGGAUGAGGCUUUACGUGUGCGGGCAAGUCCCUCGCUACCUUGUACUAUUGAUGGAGCAUCUUCUCCAUAUGUUUCGAGCAUGAAGCGAAAGAGGAAGACCUUUAAGGUCCCUUGCACUAUAGAUGAGGCUGUACGUGUGCGAGCAAGUGCUUCGCUACCUCGCACUAUGGAUGGAGCAUCUUCUUCAUCUGUUUUAUCUCCAUAUACAGUAUCAACUACCUUAACACGACGAGGUCGAGGAUUUGCCCGAGGGAUAAAGGAAUGGGGUACAGGCACUAAGAUCCAAGUAAAAUUUGAUGAUAAGUUUCAGCCAGUGGAGGAUGAUGGCAAAAAGUUGAAAGGACAAUUAGGGUUGAUCGUGCGCAGCGGGCAUAGAGUCCCACUUACAUAUCUCAGUUGGAAUGUGAUGCAUGUUGAUAUAAAGGAGAAUAUUUGGUAAGAGGUGAAGGACAACUUGGUAUACUGUCCAGAUGAAUUCAAGGAGGUUUGCAUGCGACUUUGUAGGACAUCGUGGAAAGAUCAUAAAAGCAAGACAAAGUCCAAGUAUUGGGUUCCAUUCAAGAAUGAUCCGGACAUUGCUUCUAGAGUACCUAGUAACAUAGUGCCAACCCAGUGGAGGAAACUUGUACAAUAUUGGGCGAGUAAAGAAGUGCAGGCGAUUGCUAAGAAGAAUUCUUCUAAUCGGGGAUUUCGUGGGCCUCCACAUACGACCGGAAGGACAUCUUUCUCAGAUAUUCGUUUCAAUGUAUUGAUCUUGUGGUUGCACCUAAGGCAUCAUCUGUGACUACAAUUGCUGCUGUAGCUGCAGCCGCAGCCGCACCUAGUGCACUUGGUGUGACACUUGUGGCUGCAGUUGUGGCUGCACCUAGUGCUGCAUUUUUUACUUAUUAUGUUGUGAAGACUGGAGCUCCUAACUUGAAAAAAA